GGGGGCUGCUGGAGGAUGCACAGAAGGGGCUUUACCGGGACCGGAUGCUGAGGACCUGCCGAGCCCUUGUUUCCCUGGGCUUCUCCCUGCAGCCAUGAUAUCGAGGUCCCAUGCCUGACUUAAUCCGCCGCAUCCAGCGAGGACAGGAGCAGCUCUGGGUCAGUGAUGAUGAGAACUGUGAGGACAUCUCCAGGUUGGAGGACCUGCCGCCAGGAGAUGCCUGGCUGCUGAACAGAGCGGAGGAGCAGAGUCCUGAGGAAGGGCUGCCACAUCUGGAGCCAGCCUGGACUU